GCAUGAUUGCAUCCAAGUCAACUGUCCUCCUACAAACUAUCCCUUUGUCUUGACACCAGCCUGGACCUCCGUCAAGUCUUGCUGGGAGAAUCUGAAUGCAGUGCUUCCUUUGAUAUAUGGGUGAUCUGUCACAUCAUGGCUUCUGUUGCCUCUGCUUCUGUAAAUGGAAGCAGUGCAUCCACAACCACUCAGGAUCAGGAUGUGAGAAAGAGAAAAGGGGAAACACCAUCUAUGGAAGUCUGCAUGCUACUUCUGAUACUGACUCUAGAAUCUGCAACCCAACUGACACUCCAGUGACAAAGCCUUACGUUGAAACUGAAAUUAAUUAGUUCCACCAGAUGUCCCAAAGCACCAGGUGAAAAUUACUGUAUACCGUAGAUAGGCAUCCAUCUUGUCAAAUGACGUGUGUUCAGAGUUGAGUGGAAUA